rnacentral:SRP_RNA from 1 species
GCCUGGUCCUCCCGCAACAAUAGCUCGUGAACUCGGUCAGGCCUGGAAGGGAGCAGCCGCAGCGAGUGACUUGGGAUGUGGCUGGGUUCC